CAGCCGCCACGGUAAUACAGAGGGUGCGAGCGUUAAUCGGAUUUACUGGGCGUAAAGCGUGCGUAGGCGGCUUCUUAAGUCGGAUGUGAAAUCCCUGAGCUUAACUUAGGAAUUGCAUUCGAUACUGGGAAGCUAGAGUAUGGGAGAGGAUGGUAGAAUUCCAGGUGUAGCGGUGAAAUGCGUAGAGGUCUGGAGGAAUACCGAUGGCGAAGGCAGCCAUCUGGCCUAAUACUGACGCUGAGGUACGAAAGCAUGGGGAGCAAACAGGAUUAGAUACCCCGGUAGUCCCUGUCUCUUAUAA
rnacentral:rRNA from 1 species